GGCGACCUGCCGGCGUGCUUAACACAUGCAAGUCGAACGAUGAAGCCCUGCUUGCUGGGUGGAUUAGUGGCGAACGGGUGAGUAACACGUGAGUAACCUGCCCCCGACUUUGGGAUAAGCCCGGGAAACUGGGUCUAAUACCGGAUAUGACUUCCUACUGCAUGGUGGGUUGUUGAAAGAUUUAUCGGUGGGGGAUGGACUCGCGGCCUAUCAGCUUGUUGGUGAGGUAAUGGCUCACCAAGGCGACGACGGGUAGCCGGCCUGAGAGGGUGACCGGCCACACUGGGACUGAGACACGGCCCAGACUCCUACGGGAGGCAGCAGUGGGGAAUAUUGCACAAUGGGCGGAAGCCUGAUGCAGCGACGCCGCGUGAGGGAUGACGGCCUUCGGGUUGUAAACCUCUUUCAGUAGGGAAGAAGCGAAAGUGACGGUACCUGCAGAAGAAGCGCCGGCUAACUACGUGCCAGCAGCCGCGGUAAUACGUAGGGCGCAAGCGUUAUCCGGAUUUAUUGGGCGUAAAGAGCUCGUAGGCGGUUUGUCGCGUCUGCCGUGAAAGUCCGAGGCUCAACCUCGGAUCUGCGGUGGGUACGGGCAGACUAGAGUGAUGUAGGGGAGACUGGAAUUCCUGGUGUAGCGGUGAAAUGCGCAGAUAUCAGGAGGAACACCGAUGGCGAAGGCAGGUCUCUGGGCAUUUACUGACGCUGAGGAGCGAAAGCAUGGGGAGCGAACAGGAUUAGAUACCCUGGUAGUCCAUGCCGUAAACGUUGGGCACUAGGUGUGGGGGACAUUCCACGUUUUCCGCGCCGUAGCUAACGCAUUAAGUGCCCCGCCUGGGGAGUACGGCCGCAAGGCUAAAACUCAAAAGAAUUGACGGGGGCCCGCACAAGCGGCGGAGCAUGCGGAUUAAUUCGAUGCAACGCGAAGAACCUUACCAAGGCUUGACAUGUGCCAGACCGCUCCAGAGAUGGGGUUUCCCUUCGGGGCUUGUUCACAGGUGGUGCAUG
rnacentral:rRNA from 1 species